GAAAUUAUUUCGAACCAGCUUCGAAUUGGAUUCGAAUCAGAUCCGUUUUGGAUGAGAUAUUAGAAAUCCUACUUGUACUAGAAUUCUCCUCUCUUUUGGGCUGACCAGCACCUGGUAUGGUGCUGGUUAUGGGCAUCCCAUAUGGGUGUUGGAAUGGGUGCAUUGUGGGUGUCUUGUGUAGUUCCAAUUCUAUCUCAUGUAGGAGUCCUUCUUUCAUGAGUAUUGGACUGAUUCAAAGUAUAUUUGAAUGAGGAGUCCUAUACUUAUUGGGUCAUGGGAAUCAUCUAUAAAUAGAGAGGGUCUCUACUCAUAGAUGCAUAGCAAACAAAUCAGAUUGAGAGAAGAGAGAGAG
rnacentral:lncRNA from 1 species